rnacentral:rRNA from 1 species
UACGGGGGGGGCAAGCGUUGUUCGGAAUUACUGGGCGUAAAGGGCUCGUAGGUGGCCAACUAAGUCAGACGUGAAAUCCCUCGGCUUAACCGGGGAACUGCAUCUGAUACUGGAUGGCUUGAGAUUGGGAGAGGGAUGCGGAAUUCCAGGUGUAGCGGUGAAAUGCGUAGAUAUCUGGAGGAACACCGGUGGCGAAGGCGGCAUCCUGGACCUACACUGACACUGAGGAGCGAAAGCCAGGGGAGCAAACGGG